UCAGGACGAACGCUGGCGGCGUGCCUAAUACAUGCAAGUUGAGCGCUGAAGGUUGGUACUUGUACCGACUGGAUGAGCAGCGAACGGGUGAGUAACGCGUGGGGAAUCUGCCUUUGAGCGGGGGACAACAUUUGGAAACGAAUGCUAAUACCGCAUAACAACUUUAAACACAAGUUUUAAGUUUGAAAGAUGCAAUUGCAUCACUCAAAGAUGAUCCCGCGUUGUAUUAGCUAGUUGGUGAGGUAAAGGCUCACCAAGGCGAUGAUACAUAGCCGACCUGAGAGGGUGAUCGGCCACAUUGGGACUGAGACACGGCCCAAACUCCUACGGGAGGCAGCAGUAGGGAAUCUUCGGCAAUGGACGAAAGUCUGACCGAGCAACGCCGCGUGAGUGAAGAAGGUUUUCGGAUCGUAAAACUCUGUUGGUAGAGAAGAACGUUGGUGAGAGUGGAAAGCUCAUCAAGUGACGGUAACUACCCAGAAAGGGACGGCUAACUACGUGC
rnacentral:rRNA from 1 species